rnacentral:rRNA from 1 species
CAAUCCAUGAGUAAACGUGGCGUACGGGUGAGUAACACGUGGGUAAUCUGCCUUUUAGUGAGGAAUAACGAUGGGAAACCGUCGCUAAUACCGCAUAAUCCCGAGAGGGGAAAGCAGCAAUGCGCUGAAAGAGGAGCCCGCGGCCGAUUAGCUAGUUGGUGAGGUAAGAGCCCACCAAGGCAUAGAUCGGUAGCCGGCCUGAGAGGGCACACGGCCACACUGGCACUGAAACACGGGCCAGACUCCUACGGGAGGCAGCAGUGGGGAAUCUUGCACAAUGGGGGCAACCCUGAUGCAGCGACGCCGCGUGAGCGAUGAAGCCCUUCGGGGUGUAAAGCUCUUUCGGCAGGGAAGAUGAUGACGGUACCUGCAGAAGCAGCUGCGGCUAACUACGUGCCAGCAGCCGCGGUAAUACGUAGGCAGCGA